UACGUAGGUGGCAAGCGUUGUCCGGAUUUAUUGUUCGUCCCUCUAGCGCAGGCGGUCUUUUAAGUCUGAUGUGAAAGCCCCCGGCUUAACCGGGGAGGGUCAUUGGAAACUGGGAGACUUGAGUGCAGAAGAGGAAAGCGGAAUUCCAUGUGUAGCGGUGAAAUGCGUAGAUAUAUGGAGGAACACCAGUGGCGAAGGCGGCUUUCUGGUCUGUAACUGACGCUGAGGCUCGAAAGCGUGGGGAGCAAACAGGAUUAGAUACCCUGGUAGUCCACGCCGUAAACGAUGAGUGCUAAGUGUUGGAGGGUUUCCGCCCUUCAGUGCUGCAGCAAACGCAUUAAGCACUCCGCCUGGGGAGUACGACCGCAAGGUUGAA
rnacentral:rRNA from 1 species